GCUAAGAAUAUUCCGCAAUGGGGGAAACCCUGACGGAGCGACGCCGCGUGGACGAUGAAGGCCGGAAGGUUGUAAAGUCCUUUUAUGACUGAUGAAUAAGGAAGGUGAGAGAAACGCCUUCUGGUGACGGUAGGUCAUGAAUAAGCAACGGCUAAUUACGUGCCAGCAGCCGCGGUAACACGUAAGUUGCGAGCGUUGUUCGGAAUUAUUGGGCGUAAAGGGCAUGUAGGCGGAACCGCAAGUCUGGUGUGAAAGGCAGGGGCUCAACCCCUGGACUGCGUUGGAAACUGCGGUACUAGAGUCGCUGAGGGGCAGGCAGAAUUCCAGGUGUAGGGGUGAAAUCUGUAGAUAUCUGGAAGAAUACCGAUGGCGAAGGCAGCCUGCCAGCAGAUGACUGACGCUGAGGUGCGAAGGUGCGGGGAGCAAACAGG
rnacentral:rRNA from 1 species